UCACCGGACGGCCGGUGGAUCUGGUGGUUCUCGGACACCGACGGGGACGAGUUCGGCGUCUGGAUGCGGCAGCCGUUCGAGGGCGGCGCCGAUGAGCC
rnacentral:tRNA from 1 species